rnacentral:misc_RNA from 1 species
UCCGGUUUGUCACCGGCAGUCUCAUUAGAGUGCUCUUUCGUAGCAACUAAUGACAAGGGUUGCGCUCGUUGCGGGACUUAACCCAACAUCUCACGACACGAGCUGACGACAACCAUGCAGCACCUGUGCUGGCUCCCGAAGGUCGGUCCGCUUUCGCUUCCCUACCACCAGCAUGCCAAACCCAGGUAAGGUUCUUCGCGUUGCGUCGAAUUAAACCACAUGCUCCGCUGCUUGUGCGGGCCCCCGUCAAUUCCUUUGAGUUUUAGCCUUGCGGCCGUACUCCCCAGGCGGGGUGCUUAAUGCGUUAGCUUCGGCACGGACGGAGUCGACACCGCCCACACCUAGCACCCAUCGUUUACGGCGUGGACUAC